rnacentral:sRNA from 1 species
UCAUCUGUCUUGGGGACUGACACCUCCUAUUUACCCACAGAGCAGGUACAGCAAGGGCAGUGGCAAUCCAAGCUUCCUCCCCACCGUCCCAGCAUACACAUCUCUCCACUGGACCCCGAGAAAUAGAAAGAAUGUCUCCGUCAGCGACAGCUGAGGUUGGAGGCCAGA